AACGAACGCUGGCGGCGUGCCUAACACAUGCAAGUCGAACGGGAUUAGAGAGCUUGCUCUUUAAUUUAGUGGCGCACGGGUGAGUAACGCGUAGAUAAUCUGCCUGAUGAUCUGGGAUAACAGUUCGAAAGGACUGCUAAUACCGGAUAAGCACACGGGUUCUUUGGGAUCUGCGGGAAAAGGGGGGGACCUUCGGGCCUUCUGUCAUCAGAUGAGUCUGCGUACCAUUAGCUAGUUGGUAGGGUAAUGGCCUACCAAGGCUACGAUGGUUAGCUGGUCUGAGAGGAUGAUCAGCCACACUGGAGCUGAGACACGGUCCAGACUCCUACGGGAGGCAGCAGUGGGGAAUUUUGCGCAAUGGGCGAAAGCCUGACGCAGCAACGCCGCGUGAGUGAUGAAGGCUUUCGGGUCGUAAAGCUCUGUCAGAGGGAAAGAAGUGUAUUGUGGCUAAUAUCCACGAUACUUGACGGUACCCUCAAAGGAAGCACCGGCUAACUCCGUGCCAGCAGCCGCAGUAACAC
rnacentral:rRNA from 1 species